rfam:Anaerobacillus alkalilacustris strain DSM 18345 Ga0137925_130, whole genome shotgun sequence.
AAGAUGUUCCGCUGCAAGGAUAUUUUUAGUAAGAGCAUCUG